GUCUUCUCACUGAGCCCCUUUCUGUCAACCGGUGUCAGAUUAUGGAUUCGCACAAGAGGAGAGAGGUCACAGAGCUAGCACUUAUCUUCUGUUUUUGCAGAGGUAUAAUUUGGUUGUUGUGUGAGACACUC
rnacentral:snoRNA from 1 species